CGCAAUAUUGGUGUGACAUGCUGUUUCGCGUGGACGUGUUUGACGAAUCUGCUGAAGUCGAAUCAGCAGGAAAAGAAGGUAAACAGUCGCCGUCGCCCCGGAACAAAAGACGGACAACUUUCUUAACCAACUUUCAAAGAAAUGACUUCGGACUGGAAACACGAAUCAGCGCUGAAAGACGUAGCUUUUUAAUCUUUCUUUUUCAUUCGAAUUGGUUUGGGUAACAUUUUUACGGUGUCCUUCUGCCGAUAAAUGUUUAUGUGGGUCUUCUUUAAAUCAGACAUUCAUUUAUUUUGAACGCUCACAUUAAAGGGCUGGGCGAUAUAUAUUUUCUAACGCUGGGAGAAAAGUCUGGAGAAACUAGAAAAAAUGUUGCAAUGAAAUGUUACUUUACUGAAUUCCAUGAAUGUGUUCACCAUGGAGGAACAGAUAUUGGUUUUUAAGGCAGAAGUUGCUUCCAAGACGAGAGCUCUGCUAAAAGCUGAAAAGCAGCAGAAGAAAAGUGAGCAAGAAGCACUUCACAGCAGUGAGCAGUUGAAGGAAAUAAAAGAAGAGUUGUUGGUGGUGAAAGCUGAACUCUUUGAAAGAACUUGUCAGGUUAAAUGUGCUGAGGAGGAGAAAAAGCAGGCCCUGUCUAGUGCUAAGAAACUGACAAUGACUUUCAUGGAAUACAGAAGAGCCAUUACUGAGAAACUACAAAAGCUCAUGGAGAGUGAAUGCAAACUAAAGGAGAAUCUCAUAGCGUGUCAUAAGGAAAAAAGAAACUUACAAAAAACAUGUUUACAAUUAGAGAAAGAGAAAGAAGACAUGUUCCAGGACAUGAAUCAGAUGAAAGAACUGUGUGGUGGUGCUGAGAUCAUCAAUGUGAAGUCAAAACAGCUACAGGAACGAUUACAGAAGGCUGAAGGAGAGGUGCAUAGACUGCAGGAGGAGUUGUUUCACCAACAGAAGCACAUUCAGCAAUUCAGUAGCCUUCAUCACCAACAGGGGAAAAUGAAGAACUCGCAUACUGCCCUCCUGGACAAACAGAUGGGGGAUAGAAGAGCUUUAAGAAGGAUUAGCCAGCUAGAGAAAGAACUUCUGGAGAGGUCUAACAGUCUACAGCACUGUCAUGCUGUGUUGCACAAAAGACAGCAGGAAUUUCAGAGAGAUCUGGAGAAAGUCAAGAAGGCACACACUGAAAAGUGUAAAGAAAUCGAGAAUGAGAUGGUAUGGCACUGGUCCUCAAUGCAGGAAGUGAAGCAAAAGAGAGAAAUAUCAGAAGCAGGUGUGGCCAUACAGCAGACAGCACAUCUUACAGACCUGAUCAGUGAAAGCCACAGAGAAUUGGAGCAGCGAAACAAUGAACUUUACACCAUGGCUGCUGCAUUGAAGGAAUGUGAAAGGGAGCUUCAGCAAAGAGCACAGCUGAUUCAUCAGCUAGCUCUGGCCCUUAAGGAACAUAAACAGGACUUGGAGGAAAAAGCUCUUGGUCUGCAGAAUGCUCUGGAACAGACAGAACGUAAACUGAAUGAGAAAGAAAAGCAGGUUGCAUUGCUGAUGGAAAAACUGGUCCAAGCUCAAAUUCACGAGAAAUUUCACAGAGAAGAGACACAAGACCAGUCUGUGCAACCAUCAGGAUCACCAAACCAAACAGUUGCAAAUCAGAUGGAAGGUGUAUGAAGGAGGAGCCUGUAAUUUACAAAACUUGACUGACAUACCUGGCACUGAUUUGCGCUCCCGUUGGAGUGAGGCGGUUAAAGAUGCUUCUUACUUCUAAAGCCCUCCCUCUUUCUGAUUGUUUACGUUCCUGACCUAGACCAGGAUGUAACACCAAGAAAGUCCAGCAAGCAAGGAAACCCAAUCCACAAAUCACCGACAGUGAUGUCUCCCUCCAGACAAACUGAACGACUUUGUUGCAUGUUUUGAUGGACACAACAAAGGGCAAUCACCUCCCCCCAAUGACCAAGUACUCUUCUCAGAGUUAACCCCCACAAGGCCGCAGGACCUGACAACAUACCUGGCCGGGUGCUCAAAGAUUGUGCUGAUCAGUUGGCAUCUCAACAUGUCUCUGAGCCAGUCACUGGUCCUGGUAUGUUUCAAGACCACCACCAUCAUACCAGUGCCGAAGAAGUCUGCAGUGACGUGCCACAACAACUACAGACCCAUUGCACUCAAACCAGUCAUCAUGAAGAACUUCCCCACCUCUCUGGAUCCACUUCAACUUGCAUACCAUCCCAACAGGUCAACUGAGGAUGCCAUAUCCUCUGCCCUAUACCUCUCCUUAACACAUCUUAACUAGAAAGACUCAUAUGUCAGGAUGCUAUUCAUAGACUUCAGCUCUGCAUUCAACACAAUCAUCCUUCAAAAGCUGGUUGUAGAACUGAGUGGGCUUGGCCUGAACACCACUCUCUGCAACUGGGUCCUGGACUUCCUCACAAACAGGACCUAGGCAGUUUGGCUGGGUGACCACACCUCUUCCAUCAUGAAACUGAGCACAGGAGCACCACAGGGAUGUGUGCUUAGUCCCCAGCUCUUAACCCUGACUCAUGACUGCACAGCCACACACACCACCAACCACAUCAUCAAAUUUGCGUAUGAUACGACUGUGCUGGGACUGGUAAGCAGGGAUGUACAGAGAGCAGGUGGAACGGCUGUCUGCAUGGUGCCACAACAGCAAUCUGUCUCUGGAUGGACAUCAUAUACCACAUACACUCAUUGCUGCACUAUUUUAUGGGUCAGCGCACAAUGUCCCUUGUCAUGUUUUUGUGUUUUGUUUGUUAUUCCAUGUCUUUUUGCACACUGAAUCUCCAAAGUUUCGCAAUCUGGUCUCUCUGUGUACUUGAAUAUAGUGAGAAUAUAGUGGACUUUGACUUUGCCAAGUGGCAGGACCCUCUCCUAAAGAUAAUUCAGCUGUUUGAUCGGCGUGCCACCAGUGCAGCGCUUGUUCAGGAAUGAGUGCAUCUGCAGAGGUCAAAUAUUGAUUCUUUGCAUACAUUUAAUGUUAUUGUCAAUAAAAGCCUUUGAAACGUUUAUAUUAUUAUAUUA
ensembl:lncRNA coiled-coil domain-containing protein 18-like